UACGUAGGGGGCAAGCGUUGUCCGGAUUUAUUGGGCGUAAAGAGCGCGUAGGCGGCUGGGUAGGUCCGUUGUGAAAACUCGAGGCUCAACCUCGAGACGCCGAUGGAAACCCUCCAGCUAGAGUCCGGAAGAGGAGAGUGGAAUUCCUGGUGUAGCGGUGAAAUGCGCAGAUAUCAGGAAGAACACCCGUGACUAAGGCGGCUCUCUAGUACGGUACUGACGCUGAGACGCGAAAGCGUGGGGAGCGAACAGG
rnacentral:rRNA from 1 species